rnacentral:lncRNA from 1 species
GGAGCUGGAAAGGUGGAGGCGGAAGUGACUGAUCAAUUCAGGGGCGUGGGGUUCGUUUAGGUUUUGCCCUGUGUAUGACCUCGUUUGGAGCCAUGAAACCAGGUGGCUUUUCUACAAUAUAAAGAUGGAAAUGGGAAGAAGAUGUUCAUUGCAAAUUAAGGAAGCUCUUCCACGAGUUCACGAAUGGAAAUAACAUCAAGAGUUUUUCAUCUUCUUAGUGUGCAAGAACACAGCAUAGUAUGUGACAUAAAGGCUUGAUGACUGUGUUGAAUGAAUGUAUGUUGUUAUUUUAGGGCAAUGAUGGAAAGCACCAAGUGGAGUCUGGAGCUAGACUGAUCUGUGUUCAAUCCUGUCUUGGUUACUCAUUGGGGGGCCUCGACUUUCAUGUCUCUGUAAUGUCCCUGACAGUAUCUGCCUCACAGGGUUGCUGUGAGAGUCAAGCGAGAUGUCUGAGGAAUAGUCUUAGUGGAUUAUCCCAAACUUGACACAUUUUUUGCAAAAUGCUAUACAAAAAGAAGAUACAUGCGAUUAUGACAAGAUUCUCCACUUGGUGUGACCAGUCUCAUACAACCCAAGGCUGUGUGUCCAAAGGCAACUGUACUGAAUACCGGAAAGCAUGUAUUUGUUUGCUAAAUUGCUCUCUUUCCACCAGUGAUAUCAAUUCUGAAAUACUUUUGAGAUCUUGACAAUAAUCAAAAGGUAGCCAGGUGCAUCGGGGAAAGCACUGACAUUGGAGUCAGAC